AUUGAACGCUGGCGGCAGGCCUAACACAUGCAAGUCGAGCGGAGCGGCGGACGGGUGAGUAAUGCCUAGGUAUCUGCCUGGUAGUGGGGGAUAACGUCCGGAAACGGGCGCUAAUACCGCAUACUAUCAGAUGAGCCUAGGUCGGAUUAGCUAGUUGGUGGGGUAAAGGCCUACCAAGGCGACGAUCGGUAACUGGUCUGAGAGGAUGAUCAGUCACGCGGGAACUGAGACACGGUCCAGACUCCUACGUGAGGCAGCAGUUGGGAAUAUUGGACAAUGGGCGAACGUCUGAUCCAGCCAUGCCGCGUGUGUGAUGACGGCCUUCGGGUUGUAAACCGCUUUCAGCCAUGACGCGGUAGUGGCAGAAGAAGCACCGGCUAACUCCGUGCCAGCAGCCGCGGUAAUUC
rnacentral:rRNA from 1 species